CUUAGCUAAGCUAGUUCAGGGGGUCUUCGGACCACCGGCAGACAGUUCCGUAACACGUCGAUAAUCUGCCCUUAGGUAUAGGAUAACCAUGGAAAACUGUGGCUAAUACUGUAUAGAAGAUUGAAACUGGAAUGUUCUUUCUUUUAAAGGCAACGCCUAAGGAUGAGUCGGCGCCCGAUUAGGUUGUUGGCGGGUAAUGGCCCACCAAGCCGAAGAUCGGUAGGGGCCCUGAGAGGGGUAGCCCCGAGGAGGCCACUGAGAUAAGGGGCCUGACUCUACGGAGUAUAGCAAGCGCGAAAACUUUACACUACACGAAAGUGUGAUAAGGGGAUUCUGAGUGCUCAUGCAUAGCAUGAGCUUUUGCCUAGUGUAAAUAGCUAGGAGAAUAAGUGGUGGGCAAGACUGGUGCCAGCAGCCGCGGUAACACCAGCGCCACAAGUAGGGACCAGUAUUAUUGGGCCUAAAGCGUCCGUAGCCGGUUUUGUAAAUUUUCUGUGAAAUAAUUUGGCUUAACCAAAUUGCGAGCAGGAAACACUGCAAAACUAGAGACCGGGAGGAGUUAGAGGUAUUUCUGGGGUAGCGGUAAAAUGCAAUAAUCCCAGGAGGACCACCUGUGGCGAAGGCGUCUAACUAGAACGGGUCUGACGGUGAGGGACGAAAGCUAGGGGAGCAAACCGGAUUAGAUACCCGAGUAGUCCUAGCUGUAAACGCUGUGUGUUAGGUGUUGCAUAUUCCACGAGAAUAUGCAGUGUCGGAGCGAAGGCGUUAAACACACCGCCUGGGUAGUACGGUCGCAAGGCUGAAACUUAAAGGAAUAGGCGGGGGAGCACAACAAGGGGUGCGGCGUGCGGUUUAAUCCAACUCAACGCGGAGAAUCUCACCAGAGGCGACGGCAGGAUGAAAGUCAGGCUGAAGGCCUUACUCAACAAGCCGAGAGGUGGUGCAUGGCCGCCGUCAGCUCGUGCCGCGAGGUGUCCUGCUAAGCCAGGCAACGAGCGAGACCUGUAUCUAUAAUUGCUAACAGGCAAUUUAUUGUGACUGAGCACAUUAUAGAGACUGCUGUGGAAACACAGAGGAAGGUGCAGGCAACGGUAGGUCUGUAUGCCCCGAAUCCUCUGGGCUACACGCGCGCAACAAUGGUAAGGACAACGGGAUGCAACCCCGAAAAGGGAAGCUAACCCUCAAAACCUUAUCUCAGUUCAGAUCGAGGGCUGUAACUCGCCCUCGUGACGCCGGAAUCCCUAGUAACCAGACUUUAGCAUAGUCCGGUGAAUAUGUCCCUGCUCCUUGCACUCACCGCCCGUCAAACCAACCGAGCAGGUUUUAGGUGAAACUUAGUCUUUUAAUUGAGUUGAAUCUGAGAUCAGUGGGGUGGGUUAAGUCGUCACAAGGUA
rnacentral:rRNA from 1 species